rnacentral:rRNA from 1 species
UACGAAGGGGGCUAGCGUUGCUCGGAAUGACUGGGCGUAAAGGGCGCGUAGGCGGAUUGAUUAGUUAGGCGUGAAAUUCCUGGGCUUAACCUGGGGGCUGCGCUUAAUACAGUCAGUCUUGAGUGUGGAAGAGGGUCGUGGAAUUCCCAGUGUAGAGGUGAAAUUCGUAGAUAUUGGGAAGAACACCGGUGGCGAAGGCGGCGACCUGGUCCAUUACUGACGCUGAGGCGCGAAAGCGUGGGGAGCAAAC